GUGGGCAUCAGCUCCGAAAGUUCGCCGCGUUGCCUGACAACAGAUGCUGGUGUAAUUGGUGAAGAUGAAGACUUCCCCAACUGUGACAAAGAUAAAGCACGGCGGUAUUACCCCUCUGAGCUUUCUUAUCCUCCUUAUCCUGCUCCUUAUUAACCGUACCAAUACAGGACCGAGGAACAAAGACGUGGUAGCCUCUAUCAGGACAUGUUCAGCAGUAGCUGCAUGAGCGGGAGCUAUACCACUUCCGUUUUUCCGAACCACCAUAUGCUACCUACUUCACCUGCUUGACUUAUUUGCGAAUGUGUUGCAAGCUCCUCUCCUUCUUUAAUGCAGUUCACAUGCACUAGCUUCUAUUGGUGAUCUGUGCACAAAAAACUGAUGCGAAUAAAGCUGAACUUUGGU